UACGUAGGGUGCAAGCGUUGUCCGGAAUUAUUGGGCGUAAAGGGCUCGUAGGCGGUCCGUCACGUCGGCUGUGAAAACCCAGGGCUCAACCCUGGGCCUGCAGUCGAUACGGGCGGACUAGAGUUCGGCAGGGGAGACUGGAAUUCCUGGUGUAGCGGUGAAAUGCGCAGAUAUCGGGAAGAACACCCGUGGCUAAGGCGGCUCUCUAGUACGGUACUGACGCUGAGACGCGAAAGCGUGGGGAGCGAACAGG
rnacentral:rRNA from 1 species